GGAUGAACGCUGGCGGCGUGCCUAAUACAUGCAAGUCGAGCGAACAGACGAGGAGCUUGCUCCUCUGACGUUAGCGGCGGACGGGUGAGUAACACGUGGAUAACCUACCUAUAAGACUGGGAUAACUUCGGGAAACCGGAGCUAAUACCGGAUAAUAUAUUGAACCGCAUGGUUCAAUAGUGAAAGACGGUUUUGCUGUCACUUAUAGAUGGAUCCGCGCCGCAUUAGCUAGUUGGUAAGGUAACGGCUUACCAAGGCAACGAUGCGUAGCCGACCUGAGAGGGUGAUCGGCCACACUGGAACUGAGACACGGUCCAGACUCCAACGGGAGGCAGCAGUAGGGAAUCUUCCGCAAUGGGCGAAAGCUUGACGGAGCAACGCCGCGUGAGUGAUGAAGGUCUUCGGAUCGUAAAACUCUGUUAUUAGGGAAGAACAAAUGUGUAAGUAACUAUGCACGUCUUGACGGUACCUAAUCAGAAAGCCACGGCUAACUACGUG
rnacentral:rRNA from 1 species